GAAAUGCGAUAAGUAAUGUGAAUUGCAGAAUUCAGUGAAUCAUCGAAUCUUUGAACGCACAUUGCGCCCGCCAGUAUUCUGGCGGGCAUGCCUGUUCGAGCGUCAUUUCAACCAUCAAGCCCCCGGCUUGUGUUGGGGACCUGCGGCUGCCCGCAGGCCCUGAAAAACAGUGGCGGGCUCGCUGUCACACCGAGCGUAGUAGCAUACAUUCUCGCUCAGGGCGUGCUGCGGGUUCCGGCCGUUAAACGACCUUCAUAACCCAAGGUUGACCUCAGAUCAGGUAGGAAGACCCGCUGAACUUAAGC
rnacentral:misc_RNA from 1 species